AAAAUUCAUUUACUGAUAGGCCUACCUAAAGUCACUAAGCCACCAUGUUGUUUUUGGUUUGUGUUUUGAUAUUAAUACCAGCGAGCUUAAGUCUACCAGCCGUUGACCCGAGUAUUGAUGUAGAUAUCCAUCUAGACAGAUUUAGGGAGCACGUGAAAAACGAAUCAGAGAGAUUAUGGGUGGAUAUGGAUUAUAAUAAGAAUGGCCAGUAUGACCGAGAUGACCUGGAAACUCUAAUAACUGAUUACGACAAUAAUGGUGAUCGUAAAAUUACAGAAGUAGAAUUUGAAUUCCAUUUUGAUAUGCAGGAACCAACUUUAGCCAUCGUUGCUAAGGCCUUAUUUGUUGAAUAUGACCACGACCAGGAUGGCGUUAUUGAUUCUACAGAUUUGGACGGUGUACAUGAUAGAAUGGAUCAUCUACGUAAAGAUGGAGUAAUUGACCACGAGGAAUUUGUAACAUACUAUACCGAG